GGCCUGCAAGUGUCUGACACAGACACUGCCUUUAAGCUUUAGGAUUACACUGCAAUUUGGUGCUUAAUUUUCUUACAGACUUGAAGACAUUUAGUUUAUUUAUAUAGAGCACUGAUCCUAUUAAAACUAGGAUGUUGUGUAGCAAACAGAAUGGUGCCAAAAUAAAAUCUGGACCAUUGGAAAGUAUCUGUGCUAUGGAGAGCUGAGGCCUGUGGGGACUCCCUUGACUAUCAAUGGCCAGUUUCUAGUCUUCCUGCUCUUCAGGGGGAAAUAUUAGAUCAGAAAGUAACCACUGGAGACAACUUACAAUAUAACUUUACAUAAUGUUUCCUUUAAAACAAAAUAGAAACAGAAACAAACAAUUAAGAAAAGUCUCAGAACCCUUCUGUCCUAAAGAGAGUUGCUGAUUACAGCUAACUGGAGCCCAGAGACCUGUUUCCAUAAUAUUGACUUUGGACCAAUUUCCUGCUGAAACUGGAUAAUGUCUGCGACAAGAGAUAUUUUUGGUGAGCGCUCCUUGAGGAGAAGAAACUGGGACCCCUGAAGAAGGAGCAGCUGUCCAGUUCCUCUGCUCAUCUACACAAACUGGCACUGUGUCCAAAGAGUGGCAAGCCACGUCAGCCUCCCAGGGGAACUCAAGUAUAACCCACAGCAAUAGAAGAACACAGCGAUGAAUCUGAAGGUGUGCCUUAUGACCACGGCGCUAUGCGGUAAAUCCAAGUUAUAAUCGCCGCUCGUGCGUUUUAGCUCGAGAAUGAACAUUUUGCAAACUCAAGGGCAGUAACUAAAAUACCCCAGACAGGAAGAAAUUCUCCAGACAGGAAGAUUGUUUGCCCAAGACUAUUAUACUGGCAUGGUCCACUUGGAAUUAAAAGCCACAGCAAACAACGAGAUGGUAUUAAAAGCGAUAAGGUGUUGGAUAAAUGGUCCAGAGAUGGGCAUGCAAUAAUAACAAGAGGAAGAACUGUCCAGAAAGUCACAGGCAGCCAGCGGGCAUCCACUCGGCUCCCUGGAGAUGAACAGGAUGUUAUUGUCUCGCAUUUGCUGAAUCUGGAAGGUCUCCGGAGUGGUUUCAGAGCAAAUGUUUUGAUGGGCCAGUGCAGAUACCACUGGAGCUUACGGUCAACUCACCCAGACUCUGACUGUAAGCAAAUGCUACUUAAGAAGUGCUGUGGUGAGGAAUUUUUACUUUUUCUUAUCAGUUCCUAUCAGUGUUCCUUGACCUUAUUCUUGUUAACAUUUUUGGGCCAGAAAAUUUUUGGUUGAGGUGGCAGGUGGCUGUCUUGGGCACUACAGGGAUAUUUUUCUUUUUCUCCAGCUUCCCUGACUAUCUACGUACCAGAGGCUUACGGUAUCCCUCAAGGGAUGCGCCAUAAAUAUCUCCGGACAUUGCCAAGUGCUUCCUGGGAGGGGGACCAUGCAGCCUUGAUUGGGACUCACUGACACAGAACAAACCCUUUUGCCCCAGCUUAUCAGUUCUAUUAUUCAUAUUAAACACAGGAAUUUCA